rnacentral:lncRNA from 1 species
AGUUGCUGGAGCGCGCGUAUAAAUAUAUGCGUGUGGACGAAGGAGCUUCCGACUGGCGCCUGACCGAGGGCACGAGUCAGAAGGAGAAGCAGAAGAAAAAUCAAGCUCCUGCUGAACCCAACGGGCCCCACCGAUAGAUGGGUCUCGCCCCGACAAUGGAGUCUGAGACCGAUGCAUCGUAGGUAUGACUCCUAUACUCCUCUCCCCACUCCUCGUGCG